GAUGAACGCUGGCGGCGUGCCUAAUACAUGCAAGUCGAGCGAACAGACGAGGAGCUUGCUCCUUUGACGUUAGCGGCGGACGUGUGAGUAACACGUAGGUAACCUACCUAUAAGACUGGGAUAACUUCGGGAAACCGGAGCUAAUACCGGAUAAUAUUUCGAACCUCAUGGUUCGAUAGUGAAAGAUGGCUUUGCUAUCACUUAUAGAUGGACCUGCGCCGUAUUAGCUAGUUGGUAAGGUAACGGCUUACCAAGGCAACGAUACGUAGCCGACCUGAGAGGGUGAUCGGCCACACUGGAACUGAGACACGGUCCAGACUACUACGGGAGGCAGCAGUAGGGAAUCUUCCGCAAUGGGCGAAAGCCUGACGGAGCAACGCCGCGUGAGUGAUGAAGGUCUUCGGAUCGUAAAACUCUGUUAUUAGGGAAGAACAAACGUGUAAGUAAAUGUGCACGUCUGGACGGUACCUAAUCAGAAAGCCACGGCUAACUACGUG
rnacentral:rRNA from 1 species